UACGUAGGGCGCAAGCGUUAUCCGGAAUUAUUGGGCGUAAAGAGCUCGUAGGCGGUUUGUCGCGUCUGCCGUGAAAGUCCGGGCUCAACUCCGGAUCUGCGGUGGGUACGGGCAGACUAGAGUGAUGUAGGGGGAGACUGGAAUUCCUGGUGUAGCGGUGAAAUGCGCAGAUAUCAGGAGGAACACCGAUGGCGAAGGCAGGUCUCUGGGCAUUAACUGACGCUGAGGAGCGAAAGCAUGGGGAGCGAACAGG
rnacentral:rRNA from 1 species